UUCCGGUUGAUCCUGCCGGACCCGACUGCUAUCAGAGUGGGACUAAGCCAUGCGAGUCGACGUAGCAAUGCGUGGCGAACGGCUCAGUAACACGUAGUCAACAUGCCCAGGGGACGUGGAUAACCUCGGGAAACUGAGAAUAAACCACGAUAGGUCACGAUUUCUGGAAUGGAUCAUGGCCUAAAUCUACAUGGCCCCUGGAUUGGACUGCGGCCGAUCAGGCAGUUGGUGAGGUAAUGGCCCACCAAACCUAUAACCGGUACGGGCUCUGAGAGGAGAAGCCCGGAGAUGGGCACUGAGACAAGGGCCCAGGCCCUAUGGGGCGCAGCAGGCGCGAAACCUCUGCAAUAGGCGAAAGCCUGACAGGGUUACUCUGAGUGAUUUCCGCUAAGGGGAUCUUUUGGCACCUCUAAAAAUGGUGCAGAAUAAGGGGUGGGCAAGUCUGGUGUCAGCCGCCGCGGUAAUACCAGCACCCCGAGUGGUCGGGACGAUUAUUGGGCCUAAAGCAUCCGUAGCCGGUUCUGCAAGUCUUCCGUUAAAUCCAGCCGCUCAACGGAUGGGCCGCGGAGGAUACUACAGGACUAGGAGGCGGGAGAGGCAAGCGAUACUCAGUGGGUAGGGGUAAAAUCCUUUGAUCCAUUGAAGACCACCAGUGGCGAAGGCGGCUUGCCAGAACGCGCUCGACGGUGAGGGAUGAAAGCUGGGGGAGCAAACCGGAUUAGAUACCCGGGUAGUCCCAG
rnacentral:rRNA from 1 species